rnacentral:lncRNA from 1 species
AUGGAAAAGGGAGGAAAUUUUUCCUCCCAAACAAAGGCGCAAGGGUAUUUAAAACAGCCCCUAGAAAGCUCCUCGAUGCGUGUUUGUACCGUGAGGCGUUAUGGGCCCUUUUCACGGGGAGGUCUGAGGAACGCGUCCACGCAGCGUGCAGCAGCACCGCGCUGCCGCCCCACCCCAGCCGGCGGAGCCCGUCCGGCACGGCGGCGAUGCCCACGCCAGCCCCGGGCAGCCCACCCCGCCGUGCUCCCAGCGCCGGGACGCCCCACCCGCACCAGGGGGGUUCACACCAGCGGGACUGGCCGCCCUCCGGCUUCAAGUCUCAUUCGUUCACUGGGGCCGCCCGGCUUCACUCGAGGGGUUAUUCCUCUUCUUUUCAGCGGGGAAUCAACGCUCCUCCGCCACGCGGCACAGCGCAGAGGCGAAGCGCCCGCACCGCCGCUCCGCGCCGCUCCCUCGAGGAUCCCGCAGACAAAGAGGCGAGAGCCAACCUCACCUCGCGGCAUCGAGCCCACCCGCCCGGCACCGAGCAGCCCCUCCCCGCCCGAGCUCCCCCCGGAGCAAAGGCGCCGGGCGGCGAGAUGGCGGCCCCCGCCCCGCAGGCUUUGCCGGAGGAGAACCUCGGCCCUCUCUCCCCCCGGGAGGGUCCCGGCGGGGCCGCGCUCCCGUCUCUCGCAGCGGGGCUCACCUGCGUGGGUAGGAGAAGCGCCAGGAGCAGGAGCCCCAAGCCGAGCCGCGCCGCCAGCGCUGUCCCCACGGCCGUCCCCAUGCCCGUCUGCUGCUGUCCCGCUGCGGGCCGCGCCGAUACCGCUGCUGAUCCAACCGCUGCGACGCCGAACGAAACAGGGGAGCCGCGCCCGGGCUUUUUAUGGCAGCGAGGGCUGCCGUGACGCCCCGCCGCCACCGCCUUCCCCGCCCCCUCCCCGCACCUCUGCCCCCGCCCCCCGGGCCCGGCUCCCGCACCCGCCGCGGGGCACGGGCGGCACCACCGUCCCGGCCGAGGUCCGGUGGCGGGGGAGAGUUGUGCUUCCCCCGCUGUGGAUGCUGCACAUAGAAGGUCUGCGCCUUCGUCUUGUGCCAACUUCGUGCUCUGGCGCUUGA